rnacentral:rRNA from 1 species
UACGUAGGGGGGCAAGCGUUGUCCGGAUUUACUGGGCGUAAAGAGCGUGUAGGCGGCUUUACAGGUCCGUUGUGAAAACUCGAGGCUCAACCUCGAGACGCCGGUGGAAACCGUAAAGCUAGAGUCCGGAAGAGGAGAGUGGAAUUCCUGGUGUAGCGGUGAAAUGCGCAGAUAUCAGGAAGAACACCCGUGGCGAAGGCGGCUCUCUGGGACGGUACUGACGCUGAGACGCGAAAGCGUGGGGAGCGAACAGG